UACGGAGGGUGCAAGCGUUAAUCGGAAUUACUGGGCGUAAAGCGCACGUAGGCGGUAAGUUAAGUCAGAUGUGAAAGCCCCGGGCUCAACCUGGGAACUGCAUUUGAAACUGGCUUGCUAGAGUUUGGUAGAGGAAAGUGGAAUUCCGGGUGUAGCGGUGAAAUGCGUAGAUAUCCGGAGGAACACCAGUGGCGAAGGCGACUUUCUGGACCAAAACUGACGCUGAGGUGCGAAAGCGUGGGUAGCAAACAGGAUUAGAUACCCUGGUAGUCCACGCUGUAAACGAUGUCAACUAGCUGUUGGGCCCAUUUAAGGGUUUAGUAGCGUAGCUAACGCGCUAAGUUGACCGCCUGGGGAGUACGGCCGCAAGGUUGAA
rnacentral:rRNA from 1 species